rnacentral:sRNA from 1 species
GAGCUUUCAGGAUGUUGGUCUUCCACUUUUAUCAUGGAAAAGCCCAUGGAAAGCCAGGUUCCUAAAGGGGCCGAACCCGAAAUCUGGGCUAGUAGUAGGCCUCAAACUCAACAUGGACCAACCCCGUGAUUGUGAGACUGUGACAAGGAAAGUCUUCUCUGUUCUUGCGGCUUAUCGUGUUCGUCCAUCAAUCCUGAUCAAAGGACGCAAGCGUUCUUCAGGCUAUCCAGCUUUGCUGAUUAAGAGGUCACUAGAAUGGGCAACAACACUGAUCUGCAGUUUUGGUGAUGAUAGGACAUGAAUUUUUAUGUGGUGACAAAGUUUCACGUAUUGCGAGCAGAUUGGCGGACCCAUGGCAAUACUAGCAUUUCAAAAGGCUCUGUUGAUCGAUUCUUCAUCAUAUAUAGCCAGAAUUACCAAUUGCUGCAAGUGCUUUCUGCGCCAGCCAUGGUGCCUAUUUGGUCGUCAACUGUGACAUGUGUAAAAGGAAAAGGUUUCCUCUUUUUCCACUGUCGAACAAGAGCCACGUGUUGUGGCCAACAUUGUCUGCACGUUCCAAAAUCAUUUCCUUUUCACGGGUUAUACAGGAACGGCAUGCUGUGUUUAUCUGGCUUUCCAACCAUUUAGGGCAAUUUUAUGAAUUCAUGUUUUUUUACACAUUCAAAUGCUUAUGUCCCAUGAUGGAUGCGAAUAUAUACCUUGAAAAAAAAGAGUCACGUAGUCUUCA